rnacentral:lncRNA from 1 species
GUUUUAAACAAUGUUUGUCUAAUGUAACAUUAAGAUUACUCAUUUGUAUGUUAGAUGAAUACUAGAAGGUGCAGAGGUGGGGGAGCCAAAGAACCUCAAAGGGCUUCCUCUCCAGAAAGGAGUGUCCCACAGUCACCUCAACAGCAUAAAGCAGCAUCACCCACAGCCCAGCACAGUUUGGAAGUGACCAAGGUUCUUCUGGCUGCUGAAAAAGAAAAAGUGAAAGGCCUCCAAGAAACCAUUAAAGAACUGCAAGCAGAUAAAUUAUUUUUACAGGAACAGCUUUCCUGUAAGAACAAAGAACAAAAAGGGUCAUUCUCAAGCCUUUCAGGGUCUUCUCCCAGUUGUUCAGGAGUCACAAAACAUGUUGAUCUCAAAGGUAUCACUAAAUUUUAUAGGCUAUGUUAUAAAUGUGUAGCAUUUAAAAAUGUAACUAAUUUGACCUUAUUUAUAUGGCAGGAAAGAGAAAUGCAGCAGAUGACACAGAAGAGAUCACAGAUGUGUCUACAGAAUCCCCCAGCACUGAUACAUCUCACUCUGAUGAAGAAAUUAAGGUCGUACCAACAAAAGAAAGAAAAGAAAGGAAAAGGCAAAAAGUCUCUGAAGAUUAGUCAUGACCCAGCACAUACUCGAGGUAAGACAUUGGCGAGCCAAUUUUUGUUCCCUUUUUUAUGGAAGCAGGAAAAGUGAUUAAGGGGAUAGCACAAAUAGUUGUUGACUAAAUCACUGCAGUCCUGAGAAUGACCCAUCAUCAAAAUAAUAGCUGCUCUGUGGCGGUCCUGUGGGGUCCUGAGCAUUGAGGGUGAAAGUAGGAUGAUAAAGUAUGCCAAGAAGCAGAUACAGGACUACAGCCUGUAAUUAUACUACUACAGUGUCCUAUAGGAAAAGUGGAGCUGAAACAAUGGAUAAUGGGUGUAGAAACAAGGUCAUGAUUAGGGGUGGAAAUCUCCAAGCACUUUACGAUUCGAUUCGAUUACGA